rnacentral:lncRNA from 1 species
CUCGAUUCCAAAUCGGAGCCCAUUUCGGAUUUCCCUCAGGAACCGAUUUCCAGAGACUGCUUUCUCAUUUCUAGCUCAUCACCGCCCAAGGCGACCUCGCCAUCGCCGGACGGCCGCCUCCCGGGAAGCCCCUUGUUCAAUUCUGUUUCGUGGCCGUGAAGAUUGAAGUGGCCGGAACUCGCUUAAAGCUCUUCUACCGGUCUUCAUUUUAACCGACGACGACGAUCAUGAGAGCUCCCUUAGCUGAUCGGACGGCCGACAGCGACUUAGCUUGGCUCCCAUUGAUGAGGUAAUCUCCGAUUCUCCAUAAUGCUGCGAUUCUGAC